rnacentral:rRNA from 1 species
GUGCCAGCAGCCGCGGUAAUACGUAGGUGGCAAGCGUUGUCCGGGAAUUAUUGGGCGUAAAGCGCGCGCAGGCGGUCCCUUAAGUCUGAUGUGAAAGCCCACGGCUCAACCGUGGAGGGUCAUUGGAAACUGGGGGACUUGAGUGCAGAAGAGGAAAGUGGAAUUCCAUGUGUAGCGGUGAAAUGCGUAGAGAUGUGGAGGAACACCAGUGGCGAAGGCGACUUUCUGGUCUGUAACUGACGCUGAGGCGCGAAAGCGUGGGGAGCAAACAGGAUUAGAUACCCUGGUAGUCCACGCCGUAAACGAUGAGUGCUAAGUGUUAGGGGGUUUCCGCCCCUUAGUGCUGCAGCUAACGCAUUAAGCACUCCGCCUGGGGAGUACGGCCGCAAGGCUGAAACUCAAAGGAAUUGACGG